rnacentral:rRNA from 1 species
AGGAUGAACGCUGGCGGCGUGCCUAACACAUGCAAGUCGAACGUCCUGUCUCGCAAGAGGCAGGGAGUGGCGGACGGGUGAGUACCACGUGGGUUAUCUACCGUGAGGUGAGGAAUACCGGCGAGAAAUCGCCGACAAGACCGCAUAGCCUCGGUGCAAGCCGAGGAAAGCUUUCUCGAGAGAGGGAGCGCCACACGAGGAGCCUGCGCCCGAUUAGCUAGCUGGUGGAGUAACGGUUCACCAGGGCGACGAUCGGUAGCUGGUCUGAGAGGACGAUCAGCCACACUGGGAUUGAGAACGGCCCAGACUCCUACGGGGGGCAGCAGUGAGGAAUUUUCCGCAAUGGACGCAAGUCUGACGGAGCAACGCCGCGUGCAGGAUGAAGGUUUUCGGAUCGUAAACUGCUUUUCUCGGGGACGAGCAAGGACGGUACCCGAGGAAGAAGCCCCGGCUAACUACGUGCCAGCAGCCGC